ensembl:lncRNA
CGCGUGGGGGGGGGGGGGGGCGGUUUAACCCCCCCCUGCCCGGCGGCGGCGGCGGCGGCAUUUCUAUUCAGGCGGCGCUGAGGGAGCCCGGCGCGCCCGGUGCAUUGUGGGACUGGGCCGGGAGUCCCGUUCGCGGGAGGAGGCGGAGGGCGAGGAGGAGGAGAGCCGGGAGGCAAGGGUUAAUGAAGGUGGCGAUGGGCGUCCCGCAGAGCCGUGUGCUGAGGAGCGGGAGUUGGAGGGCUGCGCGAGGAGCUCGGUCCUGCAGGGAGCCGUGGCAUCGCUCAGUGUUCCGUGCUGCUUUCUACGGGUCUUCAAUAAAAAGUUACCGUGGAUGCUUUCAAUAAACUCGGCUUGGCUCUUUUCACUCUUUUGCUUUCAGAUGGGUGAGCUUCAGUUGCGUCUCGCAGUCCGCGGGACCGCCAGAAGUUCCUGGUGGGCUGUGAGUGUUUAGGCCGCACCUCAGUGCUGUGCUCAGGUUUGGGCUCCUCACUGUGUGAAAGACAUCGAGGCACUGGAGCGUGUCCAGAGAAGGGCAGCGAAGCUGUGAGGGGUCUGGAGCACAGGUCUGAGGGGGGGCGGCUGAGGGAGCUGGGAUUGUUCACCUGGAGAAGAGGAGGCUCAGGGGAGACCUUAUUGCUCUCUACAGCUGCCUGAAAGGAGAUUGUGGAUAGGUGGGGUUGGCCUCUGGACCCAGGUAACAGCGACAGGACAAGAGGGAAUGCCCUCAAGUUGUACCAGAGGAAGUUCCGUUUGAAUAUUAGGAAAAAAAGUCUCAGAAAGAGUGGUGAGGCAUUGGCACAGGCUGCUCAGGGAAGUGGUGGAGUCACUGUCCCUGGGGGUGUUCUUAGAGAGGGUAGAAGUGACACAGAGGGAUGUGGUUAGUGGGCAUGGUGGGGGUGGGCAGAUGGUUGAGGUAGAUGAUCUUAGUGGUCUUUCAAACCUUACGUGACUGCUUCCCUGUGUAAGUGGGCAGGGGUUGCUGAGCUCAGAACUGUGGGGGAAAGGGUUCCUGUGGGGUAAUGCAUACAUUGCUGCUGCUUUGUACGCUGCUGGGAUUCAUUGGAAUGGAGUGUUGAAAAACAAAAAAAAGCCCCACACAACUCAACCCUACUUGAAAAGCCCUUGUCUCCGCUUUCUGUUGUUUUCCAGCUUGUAUAUCUUUUAUUUUUUUUUAUUGCAAGUGCUCAGUGCCUCACGCUCCUGCCUUCCAAUUAUGAGCUGAACUCAUUGCUCUUCCAAGACACGUCUGGGUAACUGAGUUUGGAUCCCAGCCGAGCCCGGGCUGUGGGAUUUGUUGUAGCAAAGCGCCACGCCUCUCAGAGAAGGAGGGAAAACCCUGCGCAGGGCUCCAUACCUAAAACUGACAAAAUAUAUGCAGCAAAGUAGUAGACUUCAAGGUAUAUAUAACUGAUAUAAUCAGUAAUAAGUGGUGGAUAGGGUGAACUGGUUGCACAGCCCGCAGGUUUACUUCUUUCUUACUUUUAGUGCUAUUGAACUCACUGAUACUGCUGUCAGUUUUUUCCUUUUCGGCUUAAGCUCCUAACAGCACGAUCAUCUCUCUGAGAUACUGUCUCUCUUCCUCUUGCUGUUGUGAGUCAGGAUCCUUGCUUUCUAGGAAACCACAGUGUGCAGGUCGCUUGUAGAGAUUCUUGAAAGCUUUCUCUUCAGGGCAGAUGGGUGUUGUAUCCCAUCCAUUCCUGUUUAGAAGUCAGCCUCUCAGUUAGGCCUCGAUUAGUUUUGGACUGUGCUGUAUGUGAGUCAGAGUGGAAAAACGUUCUAAAAUUAGACGUGCAUUGUUAAGAAUUUUAUUAAAUGAGUUGCACCAGUGUCUUUUUACAUUACCAUUCUAAUGGCCAGUUCUCUGUGUGUUCUCAGUAUCCUCAGAAAACUAAGAAAGGGCUGGAGGGGCCAGGUAGAUUUCGGUGUUCUUAUGUCUGUAAGCAUGCUAAAAGGUAAACUGGCAUGUUUGUAGGUAAAGCAACUGAUUACAUACAGCCUUUGUUCCUCUGCUACCUGUACCAACAUAACACCAGGGCUGUUUUCCCCCAAGGAGAACAGGUGUAUUAUGAAGUUUCAGCUUCUUACAUCAGAACUGAAGCUGAGCCAUUAUUUGAAAAGUCUUACUUGCAUGAUUAAUAUGUAAAGGGCUGAAAGUACAGUCCUGC